AUUAUUAAGCGGAGGAAAAGAAACUAACUAGGAUUCCCUUAGUAGCUGCGAGCGAACAGGGAUGAGCCCAGCACCGAAUCUCACGGAUGAUUUCAGACGUCGAGAAAUGUGGUGUUAGGGAGGAUUCAUUAUCUUGUAAUUGUACGGUGAGUCCAAGUCCUUCUUGAACGGGGCCACAGCCCAUAGAGGGUGCCAGGCCCGUAGUGACCGCUGUCGAUUACAAGAGAAUCUCUCCUCAGAGUCGGGUUGCUUGAGAGUGCAGCCCUAAGUGGGUGGUAAACUCCAUCUAAGGCUAAAUAUGACCACGAGACCGAUAGCGAACAAGUACCGUGAGGGAAAGUUGAAAAGCACUUUGAAGAGAGAGUUCAAGAGUACGUGAAACCGUUUAGGUGUAAACCUGAGAAACCCGAAAGAUCGAAUGGAGAAAUUCAUCACGAUUCAUUGUUGGCCGAGAAUGGUGUUGGGACACUCUUGUCUAUAUGGCAUAGGUGCCCGCACGAGUUCUUCGAUCUGACAAUGUACGUGUGCAUUUUUCUUCAUGUAGGACGUUGCGAUCCGUUGAGUGUCGGUUUACGGCCUGUCAGAGUAGCCCGACAAGUGUUUUUCAAUAGUUUACGCUAUUGGCAUUUGUCGAAUCUGUGCAGUGUUCCUAACCGACUCGCUCGACCGUAUACAUAUGACGUGGAGACGCUGCUUUUUAGAAAGAGCGUUCAGCACAUGACAAGCCUGCUGGGAGUAUUGAUAGCAAUCGGACCUAGUGCCGAUUCUGUCGCCCAGUGACUGUUAGUUGUGGUGUUCUUGAACAGUCUUCAAUUGAAACGUCAAUCAGCAACGCUUUAGCUUUGGGUAAUUUCAGGACCCGUCUUGAAACACGGACCAAGGAGUCUAGCAUGUACGCAAGUCAUUGGGACUAAACUAAACCUAAAGGCGUAAUGAAAGUAAAGGUUCGCUUUGAGCGGAUCAAGGGAAGACGAUUGGUGCAGGACUUCAUACACCCUGUAUCAGUCUGCAUUCCCGGGGCGUCUCGUUCUCAUUGCGAGAAGAGGCGCACCAAGAGCGUACACGCUGGGACCCGAAAGAUGGUGAACUAUGCCUGGUCAGGACGAAGUCAGGGGAAACCCUGAUGGAGGUCCGUAGCGAUUCUGACGUGCAAAUCGAUCGUCGGAACUGGGUAUAGGGGCGAAAGACUAAUCGAACCAUCUAGUAGCUGGUUCCCUCCGAAGUUUCCCUCAGGAUAGCUGGCGCUCGUUGCGUACGAGUUUCAUCUGGUAAAGCGAAUGAUUAGAGGCAUUGGGGUCGAAACGACCUCAACCUAUUCUCAAACUUUAAAUGGGUGAGAACUCCGGCUUGCUUAUGUGAAGCCGCGAGAUAAACAAUUUUUAAAAUUGAAUCAGAGUGCCAAGUGGGCCAUUUUUGGUAAGCAGAACUGGCGCUGUGGGAUGAACCAAACGUUGAGUUAAAGCGCCUAAAUUGACGCUUAUGGGAUACCAUGAAAGGCGUUGGUAACUUAAGACAGCAGGACGGUGGCCAUGGAAGUCGGAAUCCGCCAAGGAGUGUGUAACAACUCACCUGCCGAAGUUACUAGCCCUGAAAAUGGAUGGCGCUGAAGCGUCGUGCUUAUACUCAACCGUCAGUGGCAUGUGCGGUCAAGACAUGUAUUAAUUGAUAUGUCGGCCAUGAAGCUCUGACGAGUAGGAGGGUCGCGGCGGUGAGCGUAGAAGGGCUGGCCGUGAGGCCGUCUGGAGCCGCCGUCGGUGCAGAUCUUGGUGGUAGUAGCAAAUACUCCAGCGAGGCCCUGGAGGACUGACGUGGAGAAGGGUUUCGUGUGAACAGCCGUUGCACACGAGUCAGUCGAUCCUAAGCCCUAGGCGAAAGCCGAUGUUGAUGUGGUGUAGCAUUUUAAUAUACACACAAUAAAAUGAAACAUAUAAGUUGUUUAGUAUGAAAUAUAUACUCAUAUGUAUAAAGUUAUUGUUUGAAUGUCAGAUUGAUCUCUCUAUCUCAUUGUGUAUACCAAAUAUGCAUAUAUAAUAUCGAACUCGAAUUUGAACUCACAAAACAUAUGUAUAUUAUAUGUACUACGAAUGGAUAGUGUAGCAUCUCUCUUCACAUAAUAUAAUGAUAAUAUAUAGUAUGUGGUAAAAAUUUCUACCGACAAUAAUAUUUUCAUGUGCUUGUAAAUAUAAAUACAGUACACACCCAUUGGGCGAAAGGGAAUCCGGUUCCUAUUCCGGAACCCGGUGUCGGAACCGCAUACAAUUCGGACCCUAUGUUCGUCGAGGUAACUCAAAGAGACCUGGAGACGCCGUCGGGAGAUCCGGGAAGAGUUUUCUUUUCUGCAUGAGCGUUCGAGUUCCAUGGAAUCCUUUAGCAGGGAGAUAUGGUUUGGAACGCGAAGAGCACUGCAGUUACAGCAGUGUCCGGAUCUUCCCCUCGGACCUUGAAAAUCCAGGAGAGGGCCACGUGGAAGCGUCGUACCGGUUCGUACCCAUAUCCGCAGCAGGUCUCCAAGG
rnacentral:rRNA from 1 species